rnacentral:misc_RNA from 1 species
AUGAAGAACGUAGCGAAAUGCGAUAAGUAGUGUGAAUUGCAGAAUUCAGUGAAUCAUCGAAUCUUUGAACGCACAUUGCGCCCUUUGGUAUUCCUUAGGGCAUGCCUGUUCGAGCGUCAUUUAAACCUUCAAGCUAAGCUUGGUGUUGGGUGACUGUCCGCCUCACGGCGGACUCGCCUCAAAAUUAUUGGCGGCCGGUACAUUGGCUUCGAGCGCAGCAGAAACGCGAACUCGGGCCCGUCGUAUUGGCUCCCAGAAGCUAUCUUCACAAUUUUGACCUCGGAUCAGGUAGGGAUACCCGCUGAACUUAAGCAUAUCAAUAAGCGGAGGA